rnacentral:lncRNA from 1 species
AGUCGGGGGGAGGCGGCGGCGGCGGCUGUGGGCAGUGCGCGGAGUGCAGGCGGUCGCCGUCGGGGCUCAGGCGGCGGGCAGUGGGCGCAGGCUCCCCGGUGCCCGCCCCUCCGCGGGGGGGGGGGGCGCGAGCGGGCGGCCGGGGUGGGGGGGGCCGGCACCGCCGCCACAAAAUGAGCCUGCUGUCGGCCAUCGACACGAGCGCCGCCUCGGUGUACCAACCCGCCCAGCUGCUCAACUGGGUCUACCUGUCGCUGCAGGACACACACCAGGCGAGCGCCUUCGAUGCCUUCCGGCCCGAGCCGCCCGCCGGCGCCGCGCCCCCAGAGCUGGCCUUCGGCAAGGGCCGCCCAGAGCAGCUGGGCUCGCCCUUGCACUCCAGCUAUCUCAACAGCUUCUUCCAGCUGCAGCGCGGAGAGGCGCUGAGCAGCAGCGUGUACAAGAGUGCCUCUCCCUAUGGCUCCCUCAACAACAUCGCCGACGGCCUCAGCUCCCUCACAGAGCACUUCUCUGACCUGACCCUCACCUCUGAGACCCGCAAGCCCAGCAAGCGGCCCCCACCCAACUACCUGUGCCACCUGUGCUUCAACAAAGGACACUACAUUAAGGACUGCCCCCAGGCACGCCCCAAAGGCGAGGGUCUGACCCCGUAUCAGGGCAAAAAGCGCUGUUUCGGAGAGUACAAGUGUCCCAAGUGCAAGAGAAAAUGGAUGAGCGGGAACUCUUGGGCCAACAUGGGACAGGAGUGCAUCAAGUGCCACAUCAACGUGUACCCACACAAGCAGAGACCCCUGGAGAAGCCCGAUGGCCUGGACGUGUCUGACCAGAGCAAGGAGCACCCCCAGCACCUGUGCGAGAAGUGCAAGGUGCUGGGCUACUACUGCCGGCGCGUGCAAUGACCCGGCCGCCCACCAUGCCCCACCGCCCUCCUGCCAGCUGGAGAAGACGCAACCACCCUGCAUGUCCCCAAGUGUGCACGUGCAAGGGGGCAUCCUCAAAGGCUUACAGGUCUGGUGGGUGGGCUCUUAUGUUCUUGUAUGUUGACAAACAGUGUUAACUGACGUAGCUGCCGCCCCACAAGGCCCGCUCUCUGCGACUCUCUACAGGUGGGCCUGGGUCUGUGUGGAGGGGACAAGGUGAGCAGAGGUCAGCGCACAGGACCCCACAGAGCCUUCAGCGUCCCCUGCAGGCUCUCCUCUGAGACUCCCUUUUGGGUGAGCAGCCUUACAUUGGCCACAAGUGCACUAAAUUUACUGUGAAUCCCAGAGCCUGCAGGGGACGGUCUCCCAAAACCAGCUAGGUGGCCUUCUCCCACCCAGAACCUUCCAGUUUGCCCUGUGUGAAAAGCCACUCUUGGAAAGCCCUAAUUUUCUAAGUCAGUGCUCAUGGCAAGCUGACUCCUGUUCUAGCAGCUGCUGGGGAGCGGGCAUCUCUGCCCCCUGCCACUUUGAGCCCCAAACCUGACUGCCUCUGAAGCCACUGGCAUUGCACCUGGGCCCCGCACAUCUCCCCUCCCCCUACACCCCAGAGGUCAGGGAUGGGGAGGCACUGAAUGUUGGACGGUGCUCCAGCGUGUGACCUGGGGCACAGAGGGCAACGCCCCCUCCCCCACCACAGACUUCCCUCACGCGUUUGGAUUUUGCCAGCCCUAUCCCCUUCCCUUCUCCUUCCCCUCUCACCCAUGCUGGGGAGCCACACCCGGAAGGAGGCAAUAGGACCCAGCAGGGAAACCACUCUGGCAGGAAGGACCCAGGCCUGGCAGUCCAAAGACCUGGGUUUUAAUGCUGACCCCGCCACUGAUGCACUACAGAGCCUUGAGAAGGAUUCUCACCUCUGGGCCUCUGUUUCCCCACUAAGAGAAAGAGAGAGUGACACCAGAGAGGCCCAUUUCUGUCCUGAUGUUCUGGAAUUCUGCCUGGCUGGGUGCCAUCUCCUGGAGCAGAGAGCUUUAUUUGGAGAGUUUCCCCAGGCUCCCUACCCAUCCCCUUCCCACUAUCACCCAUCAGUCAGUCACUUAAGAAAUCAGGUGGAGGGAUGCAGGUCCUCCCCUGUUGCCCCCUGCAACCCCAGCCAUGUCUUUUGUCCCCUACCCUGCAAACGUGAAGGAGAAAGGUCUCCCCCUCCUUACAGGGCAACCCCAAGACACGCUACAGAACCUCUGGUUUGCAAAGUGGGGACAAUGAUUCCUACCUCCCGAGGGGGCGGAGAGGCCUCCUGGCACUCACACUGGACAGGCCUGCCAAUGCUGUCCUGGCUAGUGGGAAGGAUUGCCUUCCUCUCUGCUCUGUCCCCCAUGAGAAGCCCUAUUUGCUUUGUCAUAUUACCCUUCCUUUCUCCCAGGGCUGGGUCCUUUGAUGUUGCCCCAACAUUAUGCCUCUGUGGGGAAAAAAAAAAAAAAAAAAAAAAAAUCAGACCGCGGAAUGGGCCUGAAAUUCAGUGUUUACCACGGCUCAAGGACACCCAACCUGGGGCCGGUCGUCUUUGGUUUUCAAGUGAAAAUGCUUUGUACAACUGAGGAGUUACGGCAAAGUGUUAAUCAGGGGUCCAGGGAGUGAGUUGAAGAGAUGGAGUUGAGAGUAUUUGCAGCCAGAGGGCUGCAGGGUAGAUUGGGGGGGGCCAAGCCCUCUGAGCACUUAGGAAGGGUGUGUGUGCUCCAGCCUGAGCCCUGUAGCUGCCUCCCUCCAGGCCUGCAGGGGCAGAACGCCCGCCACCAACUGUGAACGUGCUUACCGCCCACUGAAGAAUCCCUCUGCUCCCUGCCUGCUCUACUGUGUCAAGGUGAGCCAGAGUCACCCUGGCCCUGGGUUCUCUGUCCCCGAGAAGCUGUCACUGUCAGUCAUCCUCGUGUCCCUCUAAAGAGAGCAUUCACAAGGGGUGGCAGUGUCCUGGUUUCCACUGCGAGGACAAGGCCCCAAGACUUCCAGGGACUUGGCCCCACAGGGAGGACCUGGGCUUCUGGGUGCUUGGGCUGAGGUUGUGCGGGAAGUCCACAUCCUAGAAAGAACCCAGGCUCCAGACUCCAGAAGGAAUAUCACCCCAAAGUGACCUUUGCAGUGGGCUUGUCCAGCUGGCAGUCACUGCCGCUGCCAUCUGUGCAGAAUCAGCCACUGUGGGGGGGCUAGGCCCUCCUGCCUGGGGCAGCCCUUCCAUAUUGCCCCCGCCCCCUGGCUGAAUUUGGGAGCUCUGUGUGGUCAGCAAAAGCCACUGCUGUCCAGGCUGGUGCUGUGAGAAUUAAGUGCUCAGAGGGCCCGGGCGUCCAGGAGACAAGAAAGUGUGUGGUUUCAGUAUGUUCAAAAGGGACAAUCGCUUGCAGUUAGUAGAUCUAGCGAUCUAGUUGGGAGAUAAUGGUGUUUACCCCAUAUGAAGUAUUCAAUAGUUCUACUUGUGAAUUUGUAUUUAUUUUGAGUUAUACUUGACACAGAAUUCCUUUUUUUUUUUUUUUUUAAAGAAAAAUACUAUGUGUGUAUUUUGAAAAGAAAAUUCAUGGAUGUUAAAAUUUCUGCAUGGUUUCCAAUUUUUCUCACAACACUGAAUUUGUUACCUUCUCCCGAAAGAUCUUCACAGUGAUUUUUGUCUGUAUAUAUUUGAGGGCCUUUUUUAAAAAAAAAAGAAGAAAAAGAAAAAGACAAGAAAAAUAUAAUUACUUGAUUUUUGAGAUUUAAAAUAAACAAAAGGAGAGGCAUUUUCAAAACUUCAGAGCUUUCAGGAGGGCAGUAGAAUAUCAAAUGAAGAUUUCUGGAAGUAUUUUUUGCAAACCUUCUGGUUGAGCUGCAAGAAAAUAUUUAUGGUGAGAACUUUUCUCUUUUUCCUGUUUUUUUUUUUUUUUGGUUUGAUUUUUUACUAUGCUUUGGUCUGUAAAAAGUCUGCAACUGAAUUACAUUAAGGAAAUAUUGUCUACAUAGAAUAUUAUAUGAAGUUGGUACAUAAUUCUGAUGAGAAAAAAAAAUCUUUGCAAUUCUUUAAGCCAUAUUAUUGUUAUUCUCUCUUGUUUGCCUUGGAUGAAAAUAUCAGUAUUAAGUAGUCAGCAUAUUAUUCAAGUGCUUAUACUUAUUAAUAUGUUCCUGUCCUGUAUUUAUACAUAUGUGUAUUUUGGAAAGUAUUGCCUUUUUGGAGGGAAGCUAUUAUUAGAUACUUAGUGAAAAAGGGAAUGGGGAGCUCUUUGAGCCUCUUCAGCUGAGGAUAACACAGCACUAUAAUCCAUUCUCUUGCACCUUCUUAUUAUUAUCUUGUUAUUAUGGUUAUUAAUCUUGUGGGGGGGCAGGAGUGAGCUAGGGGAACAGGGGGCAUGUGACUGACUAGCCCCUCUAUGGUUGGCCAGCUCCAAAGAUGGCCUCCUUGGCCUGAUCCAGGGCUUCCGGUCAGAACAGCCCAAAGAGGGAAGAGGAAGACAGACUUCACACCGUUCCUUUUGGAGCUUUGCCAUCUGAGCCAUGUCCCAGGUCCCCAUGCUCUUUGAACUUGGAUUUGUCACCCUGCCCUCCACCAUCUAAUGGACUUGAAUCUACUCGAAAUGAAUAUUUAACCCAGCAUCACUACAUCACAGCCCAGAGCGACAGCUAACCCUGAAAUCUGGGAGGCGUCCAGCCUUGGGGAAUUCAUCGCUCUCUGUUGCCAACCUCACUCGACGUCCUCCACUCGCAUGUGGUGACCCUGUCCAUGUCUGUAUCUGUUAAUAUGUGUGUGUCCAGCUAGAAAGACAAACAGAACCCGUGGGCCAGCUCGGAGGGUGCGUGGAGGAGGCUCCCGACCGCUCCCGAGGGCCGCCCUCGGGAUGGCAUUCCGUUGUGUGCCUUAUUCCUGGAGAAUCUGUAUACGGCCUGCCUAUAGAAAUAUAGCCUUUUCAUGCUGUAUUAAAAGGACUCUUAAAAGCA